rnacentral:rRNA from 1 species
GCAAGCGUUACUCGGAAUUACUGGGCGUAAAGCGUGCGUAGGUGGUUGUUUAAGUUUGGUCUUAAAGACUGGGGCUCAACCUCAGGAGUGGACUGAAUACUGGGAGACUAGAGGAUGUUAGAGGAAAGUGGAAUUCCAAGUGUAGCGGUGAAAUGCGUAGAUAUUUGGAGGAACACCAGUGGCGAAAGCGGCUUUCUGAGACAUUCCUGACGCUGAGGUUCGAAAGCUCGAGGAGCAAACAGG